GACGAACGCUGGCGGCGUGCUUAACACAUGCAAGUCGAACGGAAAGGCCCUGCUUUUGUGGGGUGCUCGAGUGGCGAACGGGUGAGUAACACGUGAGUAACCUGCCCUUGACUUUGGGAUAACUUCAGGAAACUGGGGCUAAUACCGGAUAGGAGCUCCUGCUGCAUGGUGGGGGUUGGAAAGUUUCGGCGGUUGGGGAUGGACUCGCGGCUUAUCAGCUUGUUGGUGGGGUAGUGGCUUACCAAGGCUUUGACGGGUAGCCGGCCUGAGAGGGUGACCGGCCACAUUGGGACUGAGAUACGGCCCAGUCUCCUACGGGAGGCAGCAGUGGGGAAUAUUGCACAAUGGGCGGAAGCCUGAUGCAGCAACGCCGCGUGCGGGAUGACGGCCUUCGGGUUGUAAACCGCUGUCGCCUGUGACGAAGCGUGAGUGACGGUAAUGGGUAAAGAAGCACCGGCUAACUACGUG
rnacentral:rRNA from 1 species